UACAGAGGGUGCGAACGUUGCUCGGAAUUACUGGGCGUAAAGCGCGUGUAGGCGGGAUUGCAAGUCAGAUGUGAAAUCCCCGGGCUCAACCCGGGAACUGCAUCUGAAACUGCAAACCUCGAGUACUGGAGAGGGUGGCGGAAUUCCUGGUGUAGAGGUGAAAUUCGUAGAUAUCAGGAGGAACACCGGUGGCGAAGGCGGCCACCUGGACAGUCACUGACGCUGAGACGCGAAAGCGUGGGGAGCAAACAGG
rnacentral:rRNA from 1 species